GCGUGGAUGGUUUAAUGGUAAAAUGCGGGCUUCCCAUGCCUGUGCUCCGGGUUCGAUUCCCGGUCCUCGCA
rnacentral:tRNA from 1 species